rnacentral:hammerhead_ribozyme from 1 species
AUCCAGAUGACGAGUGCCAAAUAGGACGAAAUGCGCAUCCUGGAU